UAGAAAAACAGGAUUAGACAUCACACUUUAGACAUCGGUUAGAAAAACUACCGAUGUUAAAAGCCUAUUUUACAUCGAAUAUUUAGAAACUGAUGUCUAUUAAAAAUCUAGACAUCACCCAAGACCCAAACCGAUGUGUAAAACCUGUUUUUAAAAAAUUGACCGCGCUCCCCCACUACUUUUCCCCCCUUAGCCAAUUUUUUGACAAACAAAAUCCCCCCUCAGAAUAUUCCCCCGUGUGCUGUCCAAAAAACAUAACACCUGUCCAAACAUACAUAUAAAAAUAAAAUAAAAGGACAUAAAAUUAAAUAAACUAACAAAACUAAUAACACUUUUGUCCAAAUUUCAUUCACCCCGUUCUUCCCUCUUUCGAUGGCGACGAACCCUAGUUUCCACUUUCGUUCAAAUCGAGCUCCAUUUGUGCGGAAAAAGAUCUCGGACUUGAGUUCAAGUUUGGAGGUGUGGGUUUGGUGCGUGCACUGGUCUGUGGACUUGAGUUCGAGUUUGGAGGUGUGGGUUUCUAUCUCAUAGCGACUAGUCUAUGCUCUGGGUGGUCCUCAUGACCACACAAUUGCGGGACUUGCAGUCUACCUGAAGUAUGCGCAUACUCCAGACCUUAAGGCUUGCCAGAAGCAGGUGUUUUAACCUAUAUAUUUUGGCAUGGACAGAUGGACAAUUGAAAGAACUUUGUCCAAUAGUAGUUGCAAUGGUUUUGGAAAUAUAAUGAUUUUAGGUUUCGUUUAGAACUGCUGAUUUUGGGAGUAUAAUGAACUCAAUGUGUAGUUGCAAUGACUUAUGAAGUAGUAUUGCUUUUUGGUAUCUUCGACAUUCGAUGUACAAGUACAUGGAUUAUGUAAUUAGUUGGUGGACUGAAUGCAAAUAUGUUUGGUGUAGC